CUAUCCUUGUUGCUUGCACAGUCUUUAUCGGUCAUGAUGUUAAAUAUACGCCACUGGAAAACGGUGCAUUGCGUUUCUGCACAUUAUUUAUCAAUAGUAUUGUACUGAUAAAGUGACAAAUGACAAUAAGUAUUUAAAUGUAAUAUUUCAAUGAGUUAUCACUAAUUGGCCCUGUUCGGAUGAUCCUGCAGUAGAAUCGAAUUAAUCGUGGUGGAUAAGUGAUCCGAUUUCCUGGAAAACAAUGUGCGAUGAAUCUAUCGAAAAACAACCAAACCUUAGACUAUUGAGCAAGUUUGUUAUUGGAAGUCAAGUACCCCGUCUUACUCCCUCCUAACAAUGGACACCCAUGUUUUUAUUAUAAAAGUUUUAUCUUUUACAUAUAAAUAUAGAAUGAAGUAAUUAGUGAA